rnacentral:rRNA from 1 species
GUGUCAGCCGCCGCGGUAAUACGGAGGGGGUUAGCGUUGUUCGGAAUUACUGGGCGUAAAGCGUACGUAGGCGGAUUAGUCAGUUAGGGGUGAAAUCCCAGGGCUCAACCCUGGAACUGCCUCUAAUACUGCUAGUCUUGAGUUCGAGAGAGGUGAGUGGAAUUCCGAGUGUAGAGGUGAAAUUCGUAGAUAUUCGGAGGAACAUCAGUGGCGAAGGCGGCUCACUGGCUCGAUACUGACGCUGAGGUACGAAAGUGUGGGGAGCAAACAGGAUUAGAUACCCUGGUAGUCCACACCGUAAACGAUGAAUGCCAGACGUCGGGUAGCAUGCUAUUCGGUGUCACACCUAACGGAUUAAGCAUUCCGCCUGGGGAGUACGGUCGCAAGAUUAAAACUUAAAUGAAUUGGCGGGG